rnacentral:misc_RNA from 1 species
AGAACAAGAAGAAGAAGAAGAGGAGUCAAAUUAGAGAACUAGAAAAAGAGGAGUAUAACUUCCUGUAAGUCUAUAUGUUUAGGUGGGGUUAGGCAAGAGAUUUAAAUGAUUAUUUAAUAUCUAUCAUGGGAAGUGGAAAGGUUCAGCUGUUUUUAAAUCCUUAGAAAAUACAAUCACUCUAGUAUUUGAUAAAGGUGCAGUAAUUAUAUAUUCUAAAAUGUCUAAAAAUUAUAUGAUUUUAAUAAUUUAUGAAUAAUAAUAAUAAAAAUACUAAUAUACUAUUUUAACAAAUAAAAAUAAUAAUAGAAAAAGCCCAGUGAAUGUAUAGCAAACUGAAUUGGCGUACCAAUUAAACUACCCCUCAAUAACCUAUAUUAAGUAGCGUGCCCCGUUACCA